GAAAUCUCCUAUAAAUGGUUUGAGGGACAUCAACUACCCUGUCUAGUCAGUGACUUCAUUGGGGAUUCUUUAGGUAAUUAUAUAUUAUAUAGUUAUAAAAUUGACUUUAAGAGACUCUAUUAACUAACUUUAAUUUUACUUUACAAAAAGUAAAGAAGCAGAUUUUUUUACGACUGAUACCAAACAUUUGAAGUGUCUGGAAUAUGAUCGACGGCUCCAUACCCACUUUGCGCAAAGCUAAAAAAGAAAAUGUUUAAGUAACAGUAUUUAUGGCCAGGCUCGUUUUUAUAAUUUUUUCUAAUUUCAAAACUAUUGCGAUUCUGUGAUAACGAAGUUAGCCACGCAUGUAUCACCAUCUUUGAUUGUCGCGAAAUUGUGUAGAUCAAUGUUUGAAUUAUUAGCUAUAAUUUCAUAAAUAUUUGUCUUUAUUAAUCCUACUAAAAAUAAAAACAUAAUUUUGCAACAAAAAAAAAGCGAAGUUUACCCUACAGUGGUUGUUAGUAAAACUGCCUAGUAUAGCUAGAUGUGACGGCGCAUUAUGGCCAGAUCUCAUUCCGUUUAUUUUUGUUAUGAAAUCUCGACUUACAUUAAUUUUCAAUUUGUCAUACUAUGGUUUAACAGGUUAUCUUGGAUACUUCCAUACCACUUUCCCUUGUUUUCAUGGCCUUUCUUCCAUAUUUCCGUCCACAGAGUAUAAAUGCUUUCGUUAAUAUUUAUAAUAUAAUCAGUAAAAGGAACGUGUUCUCGACACAUAACGGAACUUUUUUAUACGUUUUUACUUAUAAUUUUUAUAUUUCGAACGUAAUGCAUUUUUUCUUCCUUUUUUGUUGCUAUUUAAAAUAACAGCUGUAAAUAUGUCUUCAAACAAACAGUGCGUUUUCUCUUUUUACUUUAUUAUGUAACAUUCCAAGGUUCCUAAAAAUCCAACCGCUAUUUUACAUCCUCUUUAUUUUCCGUCGUCUUUAGAACGGAUAGUGAGUGUGUUUUGUUUGUCAGUGUUUUUUUAUUAUUAAAAUUAGGUGUAAAUA